CAGAGCACCGUCCAUGCCCCACCCAAAAUUGGGCGCGUGCUCAAAACAGAGCCAUGCCCAAUCUCCCCCCAUUUCUCUCACUCGUCGCGUGCCCUCCCUCUGCCCUCUCUCUCUCUCUCUCUCUCUCUCUCUCUCACCCCUGCCCUCUGCCCUCUCUCGCUGCCCUUCCUCUGCCCUCUCUCUCUCUCUCUCUCACCCCUGCCCUCUGCCCUCUCCCCCUGCCCUUCCUCUGCCCUCUCUCUCUCUCUCUUGCCUCAGACAUGGCUACCGGACAUGGCUGCCAGAGCUUGAGUGGAGGAUUUCCACAGGUGACAAACAUGGAUGAUGGCGAGGAGUUCCACAUCCGUCAUGAGAUCGAGCGAAGUUCACUCCAGCAUUUCAAGAGUUUAUGAGGAGUUUCUUCCUCAAGUAGAAAGUGGACAUGGUUGAGUGGGAAGUUAUUGGUGUUAAUUCCUGUUAAUUUUGGGAUUUUGAUGGCGUCGACGCAGCCUGAAGAUGAGAGUAAUAAAGGGAGCAUGUGGGUCUUGGACCAGAAGCUUGAUCAGCCCAUGGAUGAGGAGGCUGGGAGGCUGAGGAACAUGUAUAGGGAAAAGGUGAGAUGUUUGGUUUUGAUUUGU